rnacentral:misc_RNA from 1 species
GUAGGUGAACCUGCGGAAGGAUCAUUUCUGAACUAAGGUAUUGAACUCUUUUAUUUUGGUGUUUGAGAAGUUUACUCUUUUCUUUCUAUCAAUUUACUGAGCCUUUACCUUAUCAAAGAGAGUGUGUGGUAUAAAUGUAAAGAAGAAAACGGGCAGUCAUUUACUUGAUUGCUUUAGUAUCUUCUACUAUUUUAUGAACCAAAAAACAUUUACUUUUUAUUGAUAAAAUCUAUAUUGGAAAAGCUCUUUUUUGUCUUGAUUUGAUUGUUGAUAUCUCGUAUAUCUUUGAUCUUAUUUUGUGGAAUUGAGUCUACCAACAUAAACAAAAUAUGACAUACAACUGUCAACGGUGGAUCUCUUGGCUCGG